UCUCCCUCUCUCCCUUCCCCUCUCUUCUCAUAUUCACUCUCCUUCUUGGUUCUUCCCCAAUGAUGACCAAACCUCCAAGCUCUCAUAUCUCUUUCCUCAUUUAUUUCUCUCUCUCUCUUGUCGAGACCUCCUUGUUAGGGAGGAUUAUGUCUCCAGUGGUCUUCCUAGUAGUUAAAACUCCAUGAGAUUUUGAAGUGGAUUAAACCCAAGGCUUUGAUAUUAUUGGUGAUGGACCUAGUGACGGGAUUGGUUGAUUUUGUGAUGCCCGGUUGAGGUAAAAUCGGUUGGCUUUCCGUGGUAAGUAGCUUUUUAAUGGGAUUUUUGGAAAAUAAUCAUGUUUCAUAAAUGUUGUUUUUGGGUCAAACACAUUUUGGAAAAUUAUAUAUGGAUGUAUGUUUUCGUAAAAGUGUUGUGUUGUGACCCUAUUAUAUAUUAUUAUAUAUGAAAAUGCAUCAUAUUUGGUAUUGCAUUUGGGGAAAUGCAUGAAUUG